AUUUAAGCUUUCCUUUCCCUUGCACUUGUAAUUUUACCCAAAGGAGGCAUUACCUAAAUUCUUAGCAUUACAGAAGCUGUGGUAUAAAAGGAAUAGCAGCACUAGCACUACAUGAAACGUUCAAUUUGGAUUUCAACAAUAAGAAGAAUUUCGUAUGGAUGAAACUAAGAAGUGCAUAUACUAGUCUCAUGGGAUAUCUACCUUUUUCUGCAGAUACAGAAAUAUCCGAGGAAUGGAAAAUUUUGGGUUAUCUCCAGAUUUUAUACACAAUCUUGCUACUGCUAGAAGAUUUUUAAGCUCUCUAGAGUCAUAACUGUUUCCAAGAUCUGGGUCUAUCAUCUUUUCCAUCGAAUUACGAAAACGAGAUCCUUGGAUCCAUUGGAUUAAAUCAGUGCUUCCUUUCUCGGAUGAUUGACCGGUUAUUAACUCCAGGAUUAGCACACCAAGCUGGAAAAUUAUGUUUCUACAACUUUGAUUCAUACAAUCUGCAAUUAGAGUUAUUAGACAACUUUAAGGUUAAAAUAUUCAGCAACAUAAGCUCUAAGAAUUCCUGAGAGGGUGAUGGUUAGAAAUCACCUUCUGCACAUGAGGCACGAGGCAUGGUAACAUAAUUUCCAACAGAACUAAGAGGGCCAACACUGGAGAGCUUUGCAGUAAAGUUCUCAUCUAGCAUGAUAUUACUUGAGCUGAUGGAAACCUGAUAUAUUGGUGGGUUGCUAAAGAGAAGUAAAUACUCCAGUGCAGCUGCCACCCCAUUGGCUAUCUGUAACCUGGUAUUCCAAUUCAAGGGAGUCUUAAGAGGAUCAUUUAGAUGCUCCUUCAAGCUUCCAUUUUCUAUAUUGUCAAACACCAACAACCUCUUAGGACCAGUGGAGAAGCCUUUAAGUGCAAGAAGGUGACGGUGAUGCAAGCGCCCCAAAAAUUGUACUUGCUUAUAAAAAACAUCAUUUCCUUGAUUUAGAUCUUUUAGUUCCUUGACCAGAACAACGUCACCAUCUUGAAAUUUGGCCUUAUAAGCAGUCCCAUUAGAAUCACUAUACAGUAUCCUAUGAAAACCGUCAGUUGCCCUCUUUAUAUCUUUGUAUGAGAAGCGCCUGACAAACGAUACUGGGCCAGAACGAGAUCGGUGAAGCCAAGCAAGGAGGUAAGGCCUGAUCUUGCGGAUGAGACGAUCCAUCCCAAUUGAGCAAAAACUGCGCGAAGAAUUUCAGUGGCUGCACUAAGCAGCACAUUUAUAGAAAAUUCUUCUCAUUUCAGUAACGACUUUUGCGAAGUCUCUACAGGUUGUCUCUAUUUUGUUACUUAUUGGAUCUGUUAGUUGCUUGUACUUGUUCACUGCUCUGUUGGUUUAAUUUAGAUAAUUAUAUUUCAG
rnacentral:misc_RNA from 1 species